rnacentral:tRNA from 1 species
GCUUGGGUGGCUCAGUCAGUUAAGCGUCUGACUUCGGCUCAGGUCAUGAUCUCACAGCUUGUGGGUUCCAGCCCCACAUCGGGCU